ensembl:lncRNA
UGAUAUAUCAAAGGAAACUUAACUGACUUUAAGUGCAAAUGUUUCAACCUGAACAACUUAAAACUUCUCUGGGAUACAAUGUAAACAAAGACAAGAAGAAGAAAAAUAUUUCCAUCAAUAGUCACUUUUCCUAACCAGGAGACAAGUGAAUAUAUUAUGUAAAGAGUCCUUUUUCUCAGUCCUGGGGUUGUAACACCACAACCUCCUCAGUCCGUAAUCAAAGAGUGUCUAUUUGACAAUAACCAAAAUGUCUUUGGAUAGUCUUUGUGAAUGAAAACAAAACAAAAACAAACAAAUGGUAUUAGCUGGCCAGCAAAAUAAAGAGAGUGUAUGGCACUGAGUGCGGGCGUGUGUGUGAGUACUUCGGUCCAAAUAAUCAAGGUCCGGAUGGAUGAAGGGAUGGCGGCCGCUUGUCCUUUAAUGGCACCAGUAAGGCAGCACAGUAGUAAGGCAGCACAGCAGCGAGGCAGCACAGCAGUAAGGCAGCACAGCAGCGAAGCGUCUGGCAGGAGAACGAACAAUAGUCCUUUUCAAGGCUACUGCAGAAGGCGAUAUUCCCCGCUAGCUCACCCCAGCUUGCUCUCUGGCACAGCUACAAGCCACGUGAGCUCAUAGCCCCUCCCGCUAGGAUGUACUACCACAGUCGACUGUCGUAAAGCAGCCGCAAACCAAUAGCAAUAAAAAAAAAAACUCAAAAUCAUUGAAGAACAUUUUAUAACACCCAAUAUAGGUAUAUACAUAUAUACUGAAUAUCACACAAUAUCAGAUAACCAAAUUAACACUGGGUUACAUCCACCCCUGCUUAAAGUGUGACGUCCCCGUCACUAUCACCCGACAGAGAUUGCACUAACCCAGCAAUCUGUUGUUGUAAUGACAGGAAAAAGUUAUUGAGCAAUGCAAGUGUCAUCGGAAGCCGUGGCUCUCUACCAAACAUCAGAAGGAAGGGCGCUUCUCCAGUUGCGUCAUGUUUUGUACAGUUAUAAGCAUGUACAAGGGGGCGAACAUACUUCCUCCACUCCUCUUUUUUUUUUCUUUUCCUCCAGUUGCUCUCUGGUACAAGCAUCCAGCGCUGUGGGAG